CAGGAAUCGUAACGAUGUUAGCUGGUAGUUAAAGGUUAAGUCAAAAGGAAAUCGAAGAAAUUUAUUCUAUGUUGAUUGGACUUAAGAUUUAGGGGAUCAAUUUUGAAAGUUGGAAGUUAAUACUUGAUGAAGUAUUGAAUGCAGAAUGUGUAUGUACAAGUUCGGUGAUGAGGCUGCCCGUGACGCUGCUCCGAGUGCAAGGCUGACUGAGUAGCAUGUCUACAUCCAGAUGUCUCACUUCAUAGUUCAUAUACAUUUUAGGUGCCUGGAGGUUAAGUUGGUCAAGGUCUGGGGAUUUUGAAAAUCCAAGUAAUAUAUGUGUUUAUGUUUGAAUGGGAUCUGCCAUACUAUCAUAAGUUGCAGUUUAAAAAAGGCUUAACAUUCUGUCUUGGUAGGGGCUGGUGACAGUAGCGGCGUCUCCGGGAUUUUGUUUUUCGAUUCUGUUGAAUUUGGUGCUACGAGAAGGGUGCUUGUCUUGAAUACUAUAUCUCUGGGGACUGUUUUGAAAUUCACAUCAAUCAAUUUUUGCGCAAUAACAGGUGCUGGGAGUAUGGUUUUUAUUUCAGUUUAUUUGGGGUAGGCUUUGGUGUCUUGUGUUCGGUUUGCUUACCAUAUGAUUUAGUUUGGUGUAAUUAACUCUGAUGUAAUUUAGCAUUGCUGGUGCUUGAUCUGUUAUAACUGUUAAGCCAGUUGAAGGUACCUUUGUUGUCAAUAUUGGAGACCAUGGUCAUGUGAGUCCACUUUGUUCUGUUUUAAAAUCAUGAGUAUACUAUUGUAUUUUAUAACAUGGUGCCUUAUUUUCAUGAUUUGUAUAAUUUGCACGUGCAUACGUGCAUACA